UCUAUAUUAGCGCAUUACCAUCUCCCUUGUUCAACGUCUUUCCCUUCCUCUUUUACCCCUAUACCCAACCUGCAGCCUAUCGAUAUAGAGUUGUGUUCUGUGUCAGUAAUGUGGACUUAAACUGGAAAAUAAAUUCGAUUGGGUUGGUCACUGGUGUCCAAUUUAUUUGGUCUCUGACACGAGUCAGACUAAAGUGUUCUCCGAGAAAUGCAUGUAUUUCGUAUACUCAAACAUAAUUAUCUAAACCCACAGCCUCUCAAAUCCAGUUUCUAAGCAAAUAGUUUUCCCUUUUAUUUCUUUUUGCAAUUCCUUGUUCUUCCCCAGAAUUUUCUACGAAACCUCCUAACUUACCACGAAAAGCAAAUCGGAGAGCAGAUCCACUCUUACCACAAAUUAAGACGGACCGAGGCUAUUGUCGAUGCAUUAGAGACUGAGACACUCUGUCUCAGUCUUCUGUUGUUCUGCAAGGUUAUGUGGAUGCAAUCCAACCUGUGCUAGUUGCCGCUGUUCCUCAACUUAAAGAAGAGCUCACACCAAAUGAACCUGUAGUUGUCGUGGAUUCAGAUAGUGAAGGUGGUGUAGGCAAUGAUCCUGGUGUAGAUGAAAGUGAAACCUCUGCCCGAGCAGACAAAGCCACCCUUCUCCAAAACUUCAAGUCUGUGUGAAGUCUAUUCUUGAUGAUGCUAGUGAAAACUGGGCCGAAAGAGUUGAUUUUGGCUGGCUAGAUGAGAUUGAAGAUCCAAUUGUGGAUAACACGGUGAAACUCAUUGGAGAGGGAUUUGUCUUUUGCAAAGAAAUGUUUAAAGGUUGUGGUCUCACAGAUCCUGAUUUUAAUCAUUGAACCAUAUGUGAUACGUUUGGUAGCUUGUCUUAUUGAAUGACAUUUGUUAUUUUUA